rnacentral:tRNA from 1 species
AGGGCUUGUAGCUCAGCUGGUUAGAGCGCGCGCUUGAUAAGCGUGAGGUCGGAGGUUCAAGUCCUCCCAGGCCCACCAA